rnacentral:lncRNA from 1 species
AAAAUUACAAUUCUAGUUAACGAGCUCCCCUCUAAGGCCCUGUUUGGAUGCAUAAUUAAAAAACUCCAUGGAAUUUUUAUUCUAUGGUUUUGAUCUAAAUGAAAUACGGAAUACUAUAACUACAAAAAAAUUCCACAGCUUCAUUUUUAAGCUGUUUGGAUACAUAUCAUAUAAUUCCACAGUAUUUAUAACAAUUAAAUUUCUAAAAUUUUAAAAUUCAAAAUUCAAAACUCAAAAUUCAAAAUUUAAAAUUCAAAAUUUAAAAAUAAAAUUUAAAAAUUAAAAAUAAAAAUUCAAAAUAUAAAAUUAAAAUUUAAAUUUAAAAAUUUAAAAAGUAAAUUAGAUUUUAUGUUUUAAAUUUAAAAUUUGAAAUUUGGAAUUUGAAAUUUGGAAUUUGAAAUUUCAAAUUUGAUAUUUGAAACUUUAAAAUUUAAAACUUAAAGUAUACCAUUUAAACUUUAAAUUUUGAAAUUUAAAAAAUCUAUAAUUAAAAUUUUAAAUUUCAAAUUUAAUAAUUUAUAAAUUUACAUAUUUAUAAAUUUAAAAUUUUAAAUUUAAGUUUAAAUUUAAAUUUUGAAGAUUGAAAAUUAAAAAUUAAAAAUAAAAUUAAAAUUUGAAAUUUGAAAUUUGAAAUUUGAACUUUUUGAAAUUUGAAAUUUGAAAUUUGAAAUUUGAAAUUUGAAAUUUGAAAUUUGAAAUUUGAAAUUUGAAGUUUUUGAAAUUUGAAAUUUAAAAUUUAAAAUUUGAAGUUUUUGAAAUUUGAAAUUUAAAAUUUAAAAUUAAAUUUGAAUUUUAAAAUUUUAAAAUUUGAAAUCUAAAAUUUUUUGUUGAAAUUUAAAAUUUAAAAAUUGAUACAUCUUUGGGAGCCCAAAAUGGUGGAAUUUUUUUCCUUUGGUUAAAGUGGAUUGUAAGUUUACUCCAUUUUUUGGAGUAUAGUAUAACUAUACUUCAAAAAUUACGUCAUUUUUUUUUCUUCCAAACGCUUCAUAGAAUUAUUUUCCUACCAGCGUAGCAUAGUUUAACUAUGCUACGUUUUUAGAGGUAUCCAAAUGGGGCCUAAGUGAAUCAAGGUUAAAAAAGGUUUGUACCAAGGUGACCCUCUAUCUCCGUACCUCUUUCCCUUAGUAGCGGAGGGAUUAGCGAGAAUAACAGAAAGAGUAAAGAGAAAUACCUUCUAAAAAAAGUAGGACAAAAUGAGAAAAAUAAGGUCGCAAUUAUCCAGUAUGCAGAUGACACUAUCUUUUUUCAUGAGGCAAAGAGAAGGCAGGUGAGAAACCUUUUAUUUGCUUAUCAUAUUUUUGAAUGAGCUUCUAGUCUAAAGAUAAAUAAGAACAAGU